AGAUUGUUGCUUGUGCUGUCGACUGCUUUAUCUCAGUCAUGUUCAGUGGAGAGGAGUAACAAAUAUGUGCUUACAACAAUAGAAAAGUUGACUAUUUUGGCAUUGUUGUAGAAUGUUGUACAGAUGUGUAGAUGUUGUAGAAACACAAAGAUACGGACUUCGGCUUGGAGCUUAAAGAGUGGACUUCAAUUGUAUAUUCGAUCGAAUACUUGAUCCAGUUGAACUGGCUCUCUCCACUGGAACUGGAAGUUGGAUUAACCUACCUUAUAAAAUCCGAUUACUUACAAUGUUAUGAAUGACACUGUGGUAUUCUCCCAAACUAGUUUGCCAAAAUACGAGCCUGAAGU